CCCUCCAAAAUGUGAUUGAGUCCCCUCUAUAUAUCAAAACAACCAGCUAUUUCAAAAAAUUAAAAAUCAAUCUUUUUGACAGAUUUUUCUAUAAAAUCUGUUCUUAAAUUCAAAAAGAAAGACUUUCUAGUUCAAAUCUUGUCAAGUAUUUCAAACAAAAUCAGCUCUCCACUACUCAAAGAUAAACUUUAUUCAAAUAAUAUCCAAAGGACUACAUUUUCUUACCAAACAAUUUGACUUUUGAGUGUUGUACUCAAAGAGUCUUGAAGCAGUAAACAAACAACCAAACAAGUACCAUAUACUCUUAAGUAUUUUUCAUUACCUUACUUUUAUCAAUACAAAACUAUUUUACUACUUCAACAAGUGCAAAAACAGAAAAUUUAACAUUUCAAACUUCAAAAACUAAUGCUAAAAUAAUUAAUAAUAGACAAAAAUAAAAUCUGAAAAUUAAAAAUAAAAAUUAAAAAAUCAACCAUGAAAAAGAAUAGUAUUUUACUAUUUUACACAUCAAAAGGCCGAAAAAAUAGUGGUAUGCCAAAGAGGGUGUUCCGGGAGGUCGCCGGAAUUAGGCCGGAUUUUGGUCGCAGGAUUUUUGGGGUAGAAUUGACAUCAAUAACAAGGUCUUGAGGAGCUCUAUCCAUUGAUGUAGGUAUUUUGGGGUGGUAGUGGUUGGAGCUUCAAGAAUUUGGGCAAAAAAGUGACGGGAAAGUUUCCUAGAUCUAAGAUUCAAGGAGUUUGAGGGAUUUUUUUUUUAGGAUUUGGUUUGGAGAUAUGGAAAGAGGAAGUUGUGGAGAUUACAUGGCGUGAAUUUGAAGGUGUUUGGAGGUGGUCUGCCGGCGGCGGCAAUUUCCGUCAGGCGGCGGUGGGCGGAGCUGGGGCGGCGUAGAGAGAGUGAAGAGAGAGAGAAGAGAGAAGAAGGAGAGGGAAAGAAGAGAGAGGAAAUAAGGGGGAAAUUG
rnacentral:lncRNA from 1 species